GAACGACUCUCGGCAACGGAUAUCUCGGCUCUCGCAUCGAUGAAGAACGUAGCGAAAUGCGAUACUUGGUGUGAAUUGCAGAAUCCCGUGAACCAUCGAGUCUUUGAACGCAAGUUGCGCCCGACGCCUUCCGGCCGAGGGCAUGUCUGCCUGGGCGUCACGC
rnacentral:rRNA from 1 species